rnacentral:rRNA from 1 species
UACGUAGGGUGCGAGCGUUAAUCGGAAUUACUGGGCGUAAAGCGUGCGCAGGCGGCGCGUUAAGACAGGUGUGAAAGCCCCGAGCUUAACUUGGGAAUUGCGCUUGUGACUGGCGUGCUGGAGUGUGGCAGAGGGAGGUGGAAUUCCACGUGUAGCAGUGAAAUGCGUAGAGAUGUGGAAGAACACCUAUGGCGAAGGCAGCUCUCUGGGACGGUACUGACGCUGAGACGCGAAAGCGUGGGGAGCGAACAGG